rnacentral:piRNA from 1 species
UAAGAGGUGAUUCAGAAUGCAAGAUUCAGG